rnacentral:rRNA from 1 species
AGAGUUUGAUCCUGGCUCAGGACGAACGCUGGCGGCGUGCCUAAUACAUGCAAGUCGAGCGAGCUUGCCUAGAUGAUUUUAGUGCUUGCACUAAAUGAAACUAGAUACAAGCGAGCGGCGGACGGGUGAGUAACACGUGGGUAACCUGCCCAAGAGACUGGGAUAACACCUGGAAACAGAUGCUAAUACCGGAUAACAACACUAGACGCAUGUCUAGAGUUUGAAAGAUGGUUCUGCUAUCACUCUUGGAUGGACCUGCGGUGCAUUAGCUAGUUGGUAAGGUAACGGCUUACCAAGGCAAUGAUGCAUAGCCGAGUUGAGAGACUGAUCGGCCACAUUGGGACUGAGACACGGCCCAAACUCCUACGGGAGGCAGCAGUAGGGAAUCUUCCACAAUGGACGAAAGUCUGAUGGAGCAACGCCGCGUGAGUGAAGAAGGGUUUCGGCUCGUAAAGCUCUGUUGGUAGUGAAGAAAGAUAGAGGUAGUAACUGGCCUUUAUUUGACGGUAAUUACUUAGAAAGUCACGGCUAACUACGUGCCAGCAGCCGCGGUAAUACGUAGGUGGCAAGCGUUGUCCGGAUUUAUUGGGCGUAAAGCGAGUGCAGGCGGUUCAAUAAGCCUGAUGUGAAAGCCUUCGGCUCAACCGGAGAAUUGCAUCAGAAACUGUUGAACUUGAGUGCAGAAGAGGAGAGUGGAACUCCAUGUGUAGCGGUGGAAUGCGUAGAUAUAUGGAAGAACACCAGUGGCGAAGGCGGCUCUCUGGUCUGCAACUGACGCUGAGGCUCGAAAGCAUGGGUAGCGAACAGGAUUAGAUACCCUGGUAGUCCAUGCCGUAAACGAUGAGUGCUAAGUGUUGGGAGGUUUCCGCCUCUCAGUGCUGCAGCUAACGCAUUAAGCACUCCGCCUGGGGAGUA